rnacentral:rRNA from 1 species
UGCCGCGUGCGGGAAGAAGGCCUUCGGGUUGUAAACCGCUUUUGUCAGGGAAGAAAAGGUUCUGGCUAAUAUCCGGGACUCAUGACGGUACCUGAAGAAUAAGCACCGGCUAACUACGUGCCAGCAGCCGCGGUAAUACGUAGGGUGCAAGCGUUAAUCGGAAUUACUGGGCGUAAAGCGUGCGCAGGCGGUUAUGCAAGACAGAGGUGAAAUCCCCGGGCUCAACCUGGGAACUGCCUUUGUGACUGCAUAGCUAGAGUACGGUAGAGGGGGAUGGAAUUCCGCGUGUAGCAGUGAAAUGCGUAGAUAUGCGGAGGAACACCGAUGGCGAAGGCAAUCCCCUGGACCUGUACUGACGCUCAUGCACGAAAGCGUGGGGAGCAAACAGGAUUAGAUACCCUGGUAGUCCACGCCCUAAACGAUGUCAACUGGUUGUUGGGAGGGUUUCUUCUCAGUAACGAAGCUA